CCUACGGGAGGCAGCAGUAGGGAAUAUUGCUCAAUGGGGGAAACCCUGAAGCAGCAACGCCGCGUGGAGGAUGAAGGUUUUCGGCUUGUAAACUCCUUUUGUUAGAGAAGAUAAUGACGGUAUCUAACGAAUAAGCACCGGCUAACUCCGUGCCAGCAGCCGCGGUACUACGGCGGGUGCAAGCGUUACUCGGAAUCACUGGGCGUAAAGAGCGCGUAGGCGGGAUGGCAAGUCAGAUGUGAAAUCCUGUAGCUUAACUACAGAACUGCAUUUGAAACUGUUACUCUGGAGUGUGGGAGAGGUAGGGGGAAUUCUUGGUGUAGGGGUAAAAUCCGUAGAGAUCAAGAGGAAUACUCAUUGCGAAGGCGACCUGCUGGAACAUUACUGACGCUGAUGCACGAAAGCGUGGGGAGCAAACAGGAUUAGAUACCCGAGUAGUC
rnacentral:rRNA from 1 species